CGGCGGGCUCGGAUGGAAGGUGGGGGAGGGACGCCUGCGAAGAAACAGAGAGGAAAGGUUUAAUCGAGGGUUCAGAGUCAAGGGGUGUCGUUGGUAUCUGGCUCCCUACCUCAAACUAGCAGCCCCAGGCAGAACUGACAGGCUGGACAGGCUACAAACAGUUCCUGCCUCCCUGCUCGCCUUUCCAGCCCUGAUGACCUAGUGAAGACCGGGGAGGAUCCAGACAGGCAUACAUCCAAGCCUCACGCAGGCCGAAGCAUGCAUGGUUAGCACUCAGGAGCCUGGUUUCCAAUGCCAGCUAUACCUCCGUCAACAGCCAUUAAACUCAUGUGGCCUUCGGUCCUUCUCUAUUCUUCUAAGUAGCUUGUCUUCCCUAGGGAAGUGGGAGAAAGGAUGAAGAGGCCUCAGGACAGCAGAAGAUAGAGGAUGUAAAACCCUCCCCCAGAAGGAACGCCCAGACACCGGGAAGGUGGACAAGAGGGAGGGGCAGGGAUGACUGGAAGGUCCUUGCCUACCCCACCCACCAACAAUAUGUGCAAAAAUGAGGGUGUGUGAAAGCCGGAAGUAGUCAAGGGGGUUGGAGACCCAAGACCCACCCCCUCAGAUUUACUGGAGCCUCACAGAGCUGGGCAGGAUCCCCUUUCGCCGUGGAACACCAAGAAACAGCCCCUCCCAGCCCUGCCGGUUCACUAAGGCCCUCUAGUAGGGCUGAAGAGGGGUGACUGC